UCAGCGGUAGAGCAAUUGACUGCAGAUCAAUAGGUCUUCGGUUCAAAUCCGGAACGCCCCU
rnacentral:tRNA from 1 species